GGGGCAGUAGCUCAGUUGGCUAGAGCACCGCCUUUGCAAGGCGGGGGUCCAGGGUUCGAGUCCCUGUUGCUCCACCA
rnacentral:tRNA from 2 species